AUGAACGCUGCCGUUUGUAGCAGUGUGUCAUCCACCACUUCCAUUGUCGUUGUGGCCUGGUUCCCUUGGUCACCUGUGGUGCUCAGUGCUGAUGCGGGCCACUCAAGCUGGGAGGUCAUUCACAAGGACAUGUAUCUUUCCAAUACCUUGCCCUUCCAAGGCCAGCUUUACGGUUUCCUGCAGACUUCAAGGCAGAUUGUGCAAGUCUACCCUCCAAAACUACUCGGCCCUGGCCCUGUCGUUGCUCAUGUUCCAAUUAAGUUUGGCAACCCAUUUUUCUGCAGCUACUACCUUGUGGAGUCCGAUGGCCACAUGCUACUUGUUGUCAAGUCUAUGAACUUGGUGGGUCGUGAUGUGGAGGAGUGGCGACGUUAUGUCAUUGUGAUCUUCAAGGUUGAUGUAAGCCUUGGCCACUGGGAACUGAUUCCAGUAAGCAGUCUUGGCGACCGGGCAUUGUUUGUAUCCAUGGACAGGUGCCUGUCCGUGAAGGCGAAGAACCUUCCUUCCAUCAGCAGCAACUCAAUUUACCUCACUGUGCCACUCCCGGAUCCGGUCGUCAUGCAUUCCCUGAGCAGCCAGUCAUUUGAGUGGCCAACGACGUUGUGUCAGGUCCACGACGUGAAGGAGAAGAUUCACCCGUCCGUCCGGCCCUUCACCAUCGCUGAUCAUCUUCUCACCUACUGCAAUCAUCGUGAAUGGGCAACUGGACUAAUGUUUCAUGAGUAUUACACUAUACCCAAGUCUUAUGAAGAGUUGUGGAAGAAAAUAAGAGCUCAGGAUUCUGAAGUGAGGAUUUCGCGCGUGCAAGAUUCAAUCAGGAAAGGGAAAAGGAGUGUCGAACUGAAGAAGGAAUAA
rnacentral:rRNA from 1 species